rnacentral:sRNA from 1 species
CCAAGUGGACAUCAAUCCCGGAAUAGUGUAAGUAAGAAGAAGACCGGUUAGGAUCACACUAGUCCUGGCUGGCCUAUAACUUCUCAGAA